CGCCAACACCAGCAAGGCAGCCUCCAGCUACAGGUGAUAUUUCAGGUGGUUGUGGAGUUUGGUGUUUCAUGGCUGAAGCCUAUUCUGGCCGAGAUAGCCAAGAAGGCACCCCAUGUUAUAUUCUUGAAGGUGGACGCUGAUGAGCUUAGUAGGGUUGCUAAGGAGUACAAAAUCAACACGCUGUCCUCCUUUGUGUUCUUCAAAGAGGGGAAGGAGAUUGACAAGGUUGUGAUUAGGAAGGAAGAUAUUGCAGCUAAAAUCACCCUGCAUGGUGGUGUUGCUCCCACUGCUUUUGCUUGAUCAUCAUCAUCGCCACCAUAUAUGUA